GUUUGACGGAAUCAUUCGAACCAUAAGCCAUGCUAUCGAGACCCAGCAUAACAAUGACAUCUUAGUCUAUUGGUUGUCCAAUUCCUCAUCUCUUCUGCUGCUACUCCAGCGUACAUUGAAAGCAAGUGGUGCCGCUAGAAUGGGCGCCGUCGAUUAUCCUUGGCUACUCUGUUUGGAAGGAUGACACAGAGUUUCCGAGGAACUCCACAAGGAGUUAAUCUUUCCUUUGUAAAUGAUGGCCUGACUGGUGGAGCAGAAGCUUUACACCAAGUUGAAGCCAAAUACCCAGCUUUGCUUUUCAAGCAGCAACUUACAGCAUUUGUAGAAAAGAUUUAUGGAAUGAUUUGAGAUAGCCUUAAGAAAGAGAUUUCUCCAUUGCUUGGGUUGUGCAUCCAGGUAAUUGAAUCUGUUGGGUAAUAUGAGUCAUUCAUCUGCCCAGGUAAGAAAUACUUCUUUACAUAUUUUUGGUCAAUUCUCAGAUCAUGUCAUUGUAGUUAAUAUACAUUAAUGGAUCAAAUUGAUGGUUCUCAUCACACACAUACUCAUUUAGUGUAUGCUAAUUCUUGAAAUGGUGUGUGGCCUUGCUACAUUCGGGGAGGUUUCUUCUAUAACAAAUAUAUGAUGCACAUCAGCAAUCAUUG